AUAUAUUUGUAAAAAUGGUACCCAUGACCUUACUGUCUCAAACAAAUGGGCAUGUGAGGAGGAUAAAAUGUCUCUAUUGUUUCUACUGUUCUCCUUGAAGAAGCAAAGACCAAGUAACCACAACAAAAUGGUCACCUGGGAGCACCGUCUACAUGGAGACUGCGAAAGACAACAGUGGGGACAACUGAGUGAGCCUCCACUGAAUGUCUGCAGAGACCGGCCAGAUGAGGGGAUGAUGGAGUUGCCUGCUUGACUCGUUCCUGUACUUUUAUCCCAACAAAACAUGACACACACCGAGAUGUGAAAGCUGUCGACUUUUCUUUGUAAAUGUUUCUACCCAGGAAGACAUGAUUUCACCCACCAUGAAGCCUUCUGGAAGCACAUUCCUCUGACGCUGCAGCAGCGAAGGAAAGAUGGAAAAGAGAAGUUAUCAUUUCUUUCUCAAGAUCCUGGCCCCAUGAGCCUCAGUGUAGCCCUAGUUCCUGGGAUCAGCACCAACAGGCAGGGAGGAGAGGCUCUGGCGCCCUGCAGACAGCACCAGGUUCUUGGCAUCAGGAGCUGGAUACAGAGUCCCUGAUAAUCCCAGCCACAGAAUAUUUCAAACUCACCGACAUGUCCUCUAAAUAUCAGAUAUGAAAAGGCUUCCACUCUUGCACCUGUCUUGCUAUUAUUUUACAGAUGUGUUCUAAAAGCUAUAAAGACGGAAAUCACUAUUAGUGUGUCACUUAUGUGAUAUUCAGACACCUGAGCUCUGUGAUGAUUUUAAUGCCCCACAGGUCUUUCAGAAAUCCACCUCAUAUACCUCAGAACGCCCCUCCAUCUGCAAGGGAACGCAUGUGGAACAGGUGGAGAAGGAAUUCUUUUAGGCCCAUGGGUAGAAUUGUAAGGACUCUUGUAAAUGCUUCUUCUGUAGUAGAGAAGCUGGACGGUAUGUGUGUGUGCUUAUGCGUGUUUGAAUGGACGCAGGAAAAAUCAAUAAUCUGCUUGCAUCAACACCUAAAUAAAACCAAAAUAAUCCCA
rnacentral:lncRNA from 1 species